GAUUUCUGGCUUGAAACAUUUUGCCGGCCACGGUUUCGUGUGUUAGUGCUUGAUGUUCUGGCCAUCCUUCCAAUCGCUAUUGGUUAUUCUUCAUUGAAUGGUCAGUAGUAUUGGAUCUUUUACUUUGAAAAAAUUAGAGUGUUUCAAGCAGGCUUUAUGCUAUGAAUACAUUAGCAUGGAAUAAUAAUUUAGGACUUCGGUUCUAUUUUGUUGGUUUCUAGGACUGAAGUAAUGAUUGAUAGGGAUAGUUGGGGGUGCUAGUAUUCAGCGGCCAGAGGUGAAAUUCUCGGAUUCGCUGAAGACUAACUUAUGCGAAAGCAUU
rnacentral:rRNA from 1 species